GCUCUUGGUCCUAGAAACCUUGAUUCCCCCGGGUUCCCACCUUUACUAUCUCUGUGUUUUGUUUUGUGUUGGCGUUUUGUUUUGUGUUGGCUCUUUCCAUAAGUUCCCCAGCACCUGUUCUUCAACCCCAUCCUGCUGAGCUGGUCUUGGCAAGUGGCACCCAACGUGGGGUGGGCAAACAGGCAGGUAUGAAGAACCAAGGACUGCGAAUACAGUGGGAAUUUUUAUUCAUUGUAAGUGCUGUGGAGCCCUGAGAAGAAGGGAGGAAUUUUGCGUGGCCGCACUGAAGAAAUCCUGUGGAUACGUUCCCUCUCUCAGAGCUGCAAAAUGAAGAAACCAGGUAUCCAGAAUUAUACCAUGGAGUGCCAACUACCAAAUUCUUACAGUGAAUCAUUACACAUGGAAAUUUAGCAAAAAAAGAGACUUCAUGAUAUACAAAUUCUAUGAUAUCCUUAUUCUUCAGUUCAUCAAAUUCAUAUACCUUAUUUUUCAUUGUUUUAAAUGUUAAACCAAAUUAUUAUAGCAUAGAAUAUAUCAUUGGGUAUCAUGAAGCUUUACUUUGGGUGACGUUAUCAAACAGGAAUUUUUCAUGAUGCUUUAUUUGUAAGUACCAUGAAACAGAAAAUAAAAAGACCUCUCCUUCCACAAGAACAGAGAAAAUGAAAGUUGAGAUUACUGUGUGCUAAACUAUGCUUAAAAUAUAUUUUUUCCUCCUUUCGUCAUUAGAAGAUACUUUGAGUACUCUAAGGAAAGUGAUAAAAUAUAAUAGUGGUUGUGGUCUGUGUGUUGGGAAAGUCAUCAUAGGCAGCAUUUAUGAGGAAUCCAAGUGGAAGGGAGAUGUGAACUUCACUUAAAACCAGUACUGUGAAAAUUAACAGUUAUUUGAAAGACCAUACUAAGUUCAGCAGAUGCAAUUAGUACCAUGUUACUGGAGUUUAGGAUGGCCACAGAAGGGUGAGUGUGACAUGUACAGAGGCUAUGAAGUAAAUAUUCAUUUUUACAACCAUUAGCAUAUAGACUAAACCUUAGUUUGAGUUGCAAACUAUGGAGAUCUGAUUUACAGUUUUUAAAGUUUUGCUCUGCCUCAUAUUGAUCCCUUAGGGAAGAUCCAUGGCCACAUGGUCAAAUGAAUACGUUCAACACCAGCCAGAUAGGUCAAUUGCCAGGAACAAUCUAAAACUGAAAACUGACAUAAAGCGAAGCUAUUUCUGUUGAAACUGUUGUUUUGCAUAGCCCUUACAUAGCAUUAUAUAAAAUCAGCACUACAUUUUUCAACUGCCUCUGCUAAUGUAAUCACUUAUAUUAGAAUCUUCUGAUUAUUGCCCAAUAUAGCUUAUUAAAUGUCCAUUCACACUAUGUGCUUCCUUUUGACAAUAGAAGUUUCUGUGUAGUCCUGUGUCCUGUAUUUGCUCUUUAUUUUCCCUCUGUUAAAUUUCUGAUCUGAUUUCAUAAGCAGAUAGGCCUAUCAAAGGGCUUAUAUAUUUUUAUACAUACAAAGCAUUUGUUGCAUCCACAAAUCCUUCACUAUUCACUAUUGUAAGCCAAAUCUCUAUAUUGAUAUAUGCAUAUUGGUAUUUUCCAAAUAUUUGAUAUCUUAUUUUGUGAAAUGAGCUACAACUGGAACUAAAUACAUUUAUUUCAUUUCUCUGUAUUGGUGCUUCUCAAACCUUACUGUGUAUCAGAAUGUUUAGAGGAACCUGUCUAAAAAACCAUAUGUUUAGGACCAGCUACUAUUUUAUUAGAUAUAGGAUCAGGCUCAGGAAUCUGUAACUUUAUCAAGGCACUUAAAGUGAUUCUGUUACAUGAGGUCCAUAGUGAGCCAUUCUUUAAGAAAUCUAUAGGUAUUUUAGAAAGAAAAAAAUGUAGGUUGAUUUGGUUUGUUUUUAGAAAUCACAAGACUGCCUAAUUGUUAAAUAAUACAAAUCAAUAAAAGAGUUCUCUAUAAGACAAGAGCUUUUACAUUGGCUAAUUUAUAAUGUACAAAAUAUGGUUAUUUUUUAAGUGAUAAAUAGCUGUUCCACACUGCUCUGGGUGACAAUACAUAUUUAUGAAUGAAUAAAUGUGUUCGUAUGGAGGGGAAAAUUGAAAAUGAUUAGCUUUAAUUAGAAGAUGAAUUAGAAACUGAUUUGGGUAGGGGAAUGACAGUUUAAGCUAUGUAUAAUUUUAUUGUUAUUGUUGUUGUUGCCAUUGCUGUUUUUGAACUUAUGAAGCUCCCGGAUGGGGCUCUACUAACUGCUUAUUGCCAUGGUUAUUAUUAGCACUGCUAUUUUAGAUGACAUGACAUGUAUGAUAAGCUGAACUGUGAUUCCAGAAACAUGGAUUCACCGUAUAUUUUUUCUCUUCUAAAAUUAGCUGUAUUCAUUUUAUUAAAAUGGCACAUAAAUGGAGAUUUAUCGUAUAAUUAUGGGGAAACUGUAAGACACAAAUCGCUAUUUUAGAACAAGAAUUGACUUGUUUUACAGUUUAAGACACCUCUGACUAUCUCCUACUGCUUGCUCACACUAUUAACUGCAUUUUUCCUGCAGGGGUUUUGUAUCCAUCAGGGUUUAGGCAGAAAAACAGACACAAUGUUACACUUUUAAGAGAGAAAAUGUAAUGUAGGGAAUUGGCUACACAAUCUUGGAAAAACUGAGAGGACACUUGAGAUUAAUUAGCAAGAGCAGGGAGCAGGAAGCCAUUUAAAGCCAGAACUCUCCCUAGAUGAGGGCGGAGAAGGAGAGAGUGCCAGGGCCUGGGUCUCUAGGGGAUGAAGGAGCCAGUAUGGGCUCCCUCCACAGCCAGAACCUGGAAAGACACUAUGGGGGAAAAGAAGAGAAAACACUGGUUAUGCUUAGGUUCCACCCUCCCAUUUUGCUAAAUGUCUUUAAA